rnacentral:rRNA from 1 species
UACGUAGGUGACCAGCGUUGUCCGGAUUUACUGGGCGUAAAGAGCGCGCAGGCGGUCGUUCAAGUCGAGUGUGAAAGCCCCCGGCUCAACUGGGGAGGGUCAUUCGAUACUGAUCGACUGGAAGGCAGGAGAGGGAAGCGGAAUUCCCGGUGUAGUGGUGAAAUGCGCAGAUAUCGGGAGGAACACCGGUGGCGAAGGCGGGUCUCUGGGCCGAUACUGACGCUGAGGAGCGAAAGCGUGGGGAGCGAACAGG